UAAAACAUAUCUCAGUUGGUAGAGUUUGAGACUCUUAAUCUCAGGGUCAUAGGAUUCAAGCCCCACUUUGGGCAAAA